rnacentral:rRNA from 1 species
AUGCACGCUAGCUACAGGCUUCACACAUGCAAGUCGCGGGGCAGCAUGGGGGUUGCUUGCACUCCCCGAUGGCGACCGGCGCACGGGUGAGUAACGCGUAUCCAACCUGCCCUUCACCACGGGAUAACCCGGCGAAAGUCGGACUAAUACCGUAUGUUGUCCAUUGACGGCAUCCGAUUUGGACGAAAGGUUUGGCGGUGAAGGAUGGGGAUGCGUCCGAUUAGCUGGACGGCGGGGUGACGGCCCACCGUGGCGACGAUCGGUAGGGGUUCUGAGAGGAAGGUCCCCCACACUGGAACUGAGACACGGUCCAGACUCCUACGGGAGGCAGCAGUGAGGAAUAUUGGUCAAUGGGCGUAAGCCUGAACCAGCCAAGUAGCGUGCAGGAUGACGGCCCUAUGGGUUGUAAACUGCUUUUAUGCGGGGAUAAAGUGGCCCACGUGUGGGUUUUUGCAGGUACCGCAUGAAUAAGGACCGGCUAAUUCCGUG